CAGUCGCCGCGGGAAUACGGAGGGUGCAAGCGUUAAUCGGAAUUACUGGGCGUAAAGGGCUCGCAGGCGGUUUCUUAAGUCUGAUGUGAAAGCCCCCGGCUCAACCGGGGAGGGUCAUUGGAAACUGGGAAACUUGAGUGCAGAAGAGGAGAGUGGAAUUCCACGUGUAGCGGUGAAAUGCGUAGAGAUGUGGAGGAACACCAGUGGCGAAGGCGACUCUCUGGUCUGUAACUGACGCUGAGGAGCGAAAGCGUGGGGAGCGAACAGGAUUAGAUACCCCUGUAGUCCCUGUCUCUUAUAC
rnacentral:rRNA from 1 species